rnacentral:rRNA from 1 species
ACGGGUGCGUAACACGUGGAUAACAUUCCGGGAAGCGGGGGAUAGCCCAGGGAAACUUGGAUUAAUACCGCAUGUGGUCGAAAGACUAAAGGUGGGGACCGCAAGGCCUGCCACUUCCCGAUUGGUCCGCGGCCUAUCAGCUAGUUGGUGAGGUAAUGGCUCACCAAGGCUACGACGGGUAGCUGGUCUUAGAGGACGACCAGCCACACUGGAACUGAGACACGGUCCAGACACCUACGGGUGGCAGCAGUCGAGAAUCUUUCACAAUGGGGGCAACCCUGAUGGAGCGACGCCGCGUGGAGGAUAAGGUCUUCGGAUUGUAAACUCCUGUCAUGCGAGAACAAGGCAUUCAGGUUAAUAACCUGGGUGUUUGAUGGUACCGCAAGAGGAAGAGACGGCUAACUCUGUGCCAGCAGCCGCGGUAAUACAGAGGUCUCAAGCGUUGUUCGGAAUCACUGGGCGUAAAGGGUGCGUAGGCUGCGCCGUAAGUCAGAUGUGAAAGCUCAGGGCUCAACCCUGAAAUUGCAUUCGAUACUGCGGUGCUAGAGAGAUGAAGGGGAGUCUAGAAUUUUCGGUGU